AGAGUUUGAUCAUGGCUCAGAGUGAACGCUGGCGGCGUGGAUUAGGCAUGCAUGUCGAGCGAUUCCGCAAGGAAUAGCGGCAAACGGGUUAGGAACACGUAGAUAAUCUUCCUUAAAUCCUGACAUAGCCCUAUGAAAAUAGGGGUAAUAUCGGAUAGUAUACUAGAGGGGUAUCCUUUUGGUAUUAAAGUAGGGGACCGCAAGGCCUUACGAUUUAAGAUGAGUCUGCGUAGCAUCAGCUAGUUGGUAGGGUAAUGGCCUACCAAGGCUAAGACGCUUAGCUGGUCUGAGAGGACGAUCAGCAACACUGGGACUGAGACACUGCCCAGACUCCUACGGGAGGCUGCAGUCGAGAAUAUUUAGCAAUGGGCGAAAGCCUGACUAUGCGACGCCGCGUGAGGGAUGAAGGACUUCGGUUCGUAAACCUCUUUUGGCAGGGAAGAAAAUGUUGCAGUUAACAGCUGCAAAACUGACGGUACCUGCAGAAUAAGCCACGGCUAACUCCGUGCCAGCAGCCGCGGUAAUACGGAGGUGGCUAGCGUUACUCGGAAUUAUUGGGUGUAAAGGGCAAGUAGGCGGCUUGGUAAGUGGGGGGUGAAAUACUCCGGCUCAAUCGGAGAACUGCCUUCCAAACUGCCAGGCUUGGGUAUGACAGAGGAAUAUGGAAUUCUCGGUGUAAGGGUGAAAUCUGUAGAUAUCGAGAAGAACACCAGCGGCGAAGGCGAUAUUCUGGGUCAUUACCGACGCUAAAUUGCGAAAGCUAGGGGAGCAAACAGAAUUAGAUACCCCGGUAGUCC
rnacentral:rRNA from 1 species